rnacentral:miRNA from 1 species
CAGGGGAACAGGCAGAGCAUG